rnacentral:snRNA from 1 species
AUCGCUUCUCGGCCUUUUGGCUAAGAUCAAGUGUAGUAUUCUGUGUCUUGUCUUGCGGCUUGAAGUGCUAUAGCCCUGGCAUAGAUUUGUAGCCACAGUGGAACCUAGGCUUGAUAAACUGGGAUCUGCUUCUAAUG